GCCAGCCAGGGUGGUGUGAGGCCUUGUCACAGAAAGAGGAAAGGGAAGAGAGGAAGGAGGAAGGCAGAAAAGAAGGAAGGAAAAGGAAAGAGGGCUGGCAAGGUGGCUCGGAGGGUAAAAAAAGCAAGUGCCACAAAAGCAGGAUGGCCUAGAUUGGAUGAAUCUUUGGAUUCCACAGUGGGGGUGAGAGAAUCAGUUCCACAUUUGUCCUUUGUCCUGUCAUCUCUGUCAUCUCUGUCUCUCUGUCUCUUUGUCUCUCUCUGUCUCUCUCACAUACAGAGACAUGUAAAUUUCUCACAUACAGCACAUUUAAAAAUAAAAAAAUAAAAAUAAA
rnacentral:lncRNA from 1 species